ensembl:lncRNA
AAAGCUUAUCUGUAGACAACAAUAUUUUCCAGGAACUGACAUGCCCAAAGCACAGUGAGCAAAGGCACCGAGUAUCCCAAUUAGAGUAUUUCUUUCUCCGCCGCCCUUCCCAAAGCAAUUCAAGUUGCAGACGCUGAGGUGACCUUCAGAUCCUUCCAUCUCAAUGACAAGUGCAAUGAUCUUGUCCUGUUCAGAGGAGUUUGUUUAAAGGGUUCCAUGAUUUGUGAGAUUCCAAGAAGUCCAUGUGUGACCAGUGAGCAGAUGGGUCUCUCCAAGUCAAUGCCAAGUCACUAUGAUUCCAAAAAACAGUUGGUGA